rnacentral:rRNA from 1 species
UACGUAGGUGGCAAGCGUUGUCCAGAUUUAUUGGGUUUAAAGGGUGCGUAGGCGGCUUUGUAAGUCAGUGGUGAAAUAUGGCAGCUCAACUGUCAGGGUGCCAUUGAUACUGCGGAGCUUGAGUACAGAUGAGGUAGGCGGAAUUGACGGUGUAGCGGUGAAAUGCUUAGAUAUCGUCAAGAACACCGAUAGCGAAGGCAGCUUACUAGGCUGUAACUGACGCUGAGGCACGAAAGUGUGGGGAUCAAACAGG